rnacentral:rRNA from 1 species
AGUGAACGCUGGCGGCGUGCUUAACACAUGCAAGUCGAACGAGAAACGGAUAUAGCUUGCUAUAUUGCAGUCUAACUGGCGCAAGGGUGAGUAAUGUAUAGAUAAUAUGCCUUUUACUAAGGGAUAACAGUUGGAAACGGCUGCUAAUACCUUAUAUGCCUUUAAUACAUAAGUAUGCACGGGAAAGAUUUGUUGGUAAGAGAUUAGUCUGUAUUGUAUCAGUUAGUUGGCUAGGUAAUGGCUCACCAAGACUAUGACGCAUGACUGGUUGAGAGGAUGAUCAGGCACACUGGAACUGAGACACGGUCCAGACUCCUACGGGAGGCAGCAGUAGGGAAUAUUGCACAAUGGGGGAAACCCUGAUGCAGCAACGCCGCGUGGAGUAUGACACAUUGCGGUGCGUAAACUCCUUUUAUACAGGAAGAUAAUGACGGUACUAUAUGAAUAAGCACCGGCUAACUCCGUGCCAGCAGCCGCCGUAA